UACGUAGGGCGCAAGCGUUGUCCGGAAUUAUUGGGCGUAAAGAGCUCGUAGGCGGUGUGUCGCGUCGGAUGUGAAAAGCCCGGGGCUUAACCCCGGGUCUGCAUUCGAUACGGGCAGACUGGAGUGUGGUAGGGGAGAUCGGAAUUCCUGGUGUAGCGGUGAAAUGCGCAGAUAUCAGGAGGAACACCGGUGGCGAAGGCGGAUCUCUGGGCCAUUACUGACGCUGAGGAGCGAAAGCGUGGGGAGCGAACAGG
rnacentral:rRNA from 1 species